GCAUUGGAACCACCUGAUCCCAUCCCGAACUCAGAAGUGAAACGAUGCAUCGCCGAUGGUAGUGUGGGGUUUCCCCAUGUGAGAGUAGGU
rnacentral:rRNA from 1 species